rnacentral:rRNA from 1 species
UACAGAGGUCUCAAGCGUUGUUCGGAUUCAUUGGGCGUAAAGGGUGUGUAGGUGGCGUGCUACGUCGGGUGUGAAAUUUCGGAGCUUAACUCCGAAACUGCAUUCGAUACUGGCGUGCUUGAGGACUGGAGAGGAGACUGGAAUUCAUGGUGUAGCAGUGAAAUGCGUAGAGAUCAUGAGGAAGACCAGUGGCGAAGGCGGGUCUCUGGACAGUUCCUGACACUGAGACACGAAGGCCAGGGGAGCAAACGGG